AUUGAACGCUGGCGGCAGGCCUAACACAUGCAAGUCGAACGGUAACAGGAAGAAGCUUGCUUCUUUGCUGACGAGCGGCGGACGGGUGAGUAAUGUCUGGGAAACUGCCUGAUGGAGGGGGAUAACUACUGGAAACGGUAGCUAAUACCGCAUAAUGUCGCAAGACCAAAGAGGGGGACCUUCGGGCCUCUUGCCAUCGGAUGUGCCCAGAUGGGAUUAGCUAGUAGGUGGGGUAACGGCUCACCUAGGCGACGAUCCCUAGCUGGUCUGAGAGGAUGACCAGCCACACUGGAACUGAGACACGGUCCAGACUCCUACGGGAGGCAGCAGUGGGGAAUAUUGCACAAUGGGCGCAAGCCUGAUGCAGCUAUGCCGCGUGUAUGAAGAAGGCCUUCGGGUUGUAAAGUACUUUCAGCGGGGAGGAAGGGAGUAAAGUUAAUACCUUUGCUCAUUGACGUUACCCGCAGAAGAAGCACCGGCUAACUCCGUG
rnacentral:rRNA from 1 species